CCCACCCCUACCCUGCACCCUGCACCGGGAGUGCUGGCCACGCCCCCAACCUGCACCUGGAGUGCUGGCCACGUCCACCCCUCUCCUGAGGAAACGGACAAUGAAUCAGGUCAAGGGAGAUAAAAUCUCACCUGUGACGGUGACGUUCAGGACCGCGCUGCGGGCGAGGCCGUGGCCGUUGUCGGCUGUGCAGAAGUAGGCCCCUGCGUGGCUGCCGCCGACCGCAGGGAUCUCCAGGCGCGCUGUCCGGGAACGCCGACGCUCCCUCCCCAGACUCUGCCCCGUGUCCUCCCGGUGCCAGGAGAACGUGGUAUCCCCUGUGCCUGCGGCCGCCGAGCAAACAAGGACCAGCGGCUUCCCGGCAAGCGCCAGGCCCUCCGGGGGCUGGGUCUCCAGCAGCACUCCGGACACCGGGACCCCUGCGUGGACACGAGGGGCAGGAGGAAGCUGACGCUUAUCUCCUCCACACGUCACCCGAGAUCUGGCUUCUAGAACGUCUCAGCUCACUCCCCCACACUCACCCUGCACGGAGACCUGCAGCGGGAGGCUGUGCUUUUGGAUGUCCUGGGCCGCAGCGACGCCACACCUAUACCAUCCCGAGUCUUGCCUCCGGAUGUCUGUGAUCUGGAGUUCCGGGGACCGGCUCCAGUCUGACAGCAUGCCCCCGUGCUCCCUGAAGAAGAUGAAAUGAAGCACCGUGUCCCGCCGCUCCGGAGCCCGCUGAGUCUCGCAGCUCAGCUGUACUUCACGGUGGUCAGCGUCUCCCUCCUCUUCACCCGGCACCUCAGGACCAACGUGUCACCUUCAAACACGG